CAACGCCAACAGCAUCAAGCAGAUGUUGCUGGACUGGUGCCGAGCCAAGACCCGUGGCUACGAGCACGUGGACAUCCAGAACUUCUCCUCCAGCUGGAGUGAUGGGAUGGCUUUCUGUGCCCUGGUGCACAAUUUCUUCCCUGAGGCUUUUGACUAUGGACAGCUUAGCCCACAAAACCGGCGCCAGAACUUUGAAAUGGCCUUCUCAUCUGCUGAGUAAGUAUGAGCCCCGUUCUCCUGGUGUCCGCUGGGAUCGGCAGCCCUGAGACCCCCCCAUGGAAGUGGCCAGUUGUACAGUGGGUCUGCAGACAAGACCCCCAUCCCCAGAGAGUUUCCAUCCUCCUCCACCCACCUGUUGCUGAGUGUGCCAGGUGCCCACCGGAAGGAAGGAGCGUCAGGCCCGCCCACCAGCCCAGGCUAAAACCCAUCAGGUGGCCCUGUCCAUAACUUCUCCCUCCUCCAUCUGCCCCUGUUCCUCCUCUCUCCAUUUCUCUGUCCUGCUGUCCUCCCACCAUUACCAGAGCUUCCUGCUCCCACGGGAUCCCGGCUGGAGAUUCCAAAAGGAGGCUCCUGGCCCAGGCACCAUG
rnacentral:lncRNA from 1 species